rnacentral:rRNA from 1 species
UACGAAGGGGGCUAGCGUUGUUCGGAUUUACUGGGCGUAAAGCGCGUGUAGGCGGACUUGUAAGUUGGGGGUGAAAUCCCGAGGCUCAACCUCGGAACUGCCUCCAAAACUACAAGUCUGGAGCAAGAUAGAGGCAAGUGGAAUUGCGAGUGUAGAGGUGAAAUUCGUAGAUAUUCGCAGGAACACCAGUGGCGAAGGCGACUUGCUGGAUCUUUGCCGACGCUGAGACGCGAAAGCGUGGGGAGCAAACAGG